rnacentral:lncRNA from 1 species
CUCCGAUGCUGGAGGCCGGGAUCUGAAGCAGCCCUUCCGAGAGCCGACUGGCCUGCCUUUAGAGACCCAGCAUGCAGGGAAGUGCCUACCGUCAGCUCGCGAAAGUCCCCUCCCGCUGUGCCCAGGGUAGACCUUUGCGGCUGAGCUCCGUCCCCAGACCAUGCUCAACAGUCUCGCGUACUGCCCUGCUUCAUUCCCACUCUAAGUCCUUUGCUACCCAACCACCCAGACGUCGGGGGGGGGGGGCAGGGCAGAACUAGCAACCGAGCAGCUAACAGAUCUUCCGCUGGCGACUGAGUGCCUGCGGGUGCAGAGUCCAAGUCCUGGAGCUAGAACUGCAUCUCAGGGCCUCUGCAGUACAGUUCCUGCUCCCUCCGAGGCUCCUCCCACCAACGCUUACCUGCUUGGCUUCCUCCCCCUCCCCUCUCUGCUCAAUUGUCACCUGGUCCUAGGGAGCAUUUCUGAUCCACUGAUCAAUGGCACCCUCCCAUCUCCUUCCAUCCUCAGCUGGCCGCUGACUCUGCUUUAUCUGCCCCGUAGCAUUGCCACCACCCGGCUUUAUUUUUAAGAUCACCAGAUACCUUCAGAUGCCAUCUUCAGAACAUGCUUACACUAAAAAAUCAUUCAUCCUUUGUCAGAAAUUCAAAUUUAACUGGGCGUCUUGUAUUUUUCACUUCUAUUGCCUCUCUCCUUCCCACUCCCAACAGGAACUGCCUGCGGCCCAGAUGGGGUCUUCUGGAUUCACUGCUCCAAAUCCCCAACACCUUGCAUUCUGGGGCCUCGCCAGGCUUAGCACAGAGCAGGAACUCAUCAGUUUACGGAACGAAGGAAGAAAGCACAAAAGCGGGGCAGGAAGCCGGGGAGGAGGUGGAAGCUCAAACAGCACACCUUUUCUACCCAGCAACAGGACCUGAGUGCUUCUUGCCAUGAUUUAAAGUUGAAAUUAACACCCGGAAAGAAACCAACAUUUGUUUUCCUCUUCCUGUUCCACACCCCGCCCAUCUGGAGGAAAAGAAAUGGGGGGGGGGACCACCGGAAACUAUUUACCUUUACAUAAAUAAAUUGCCAUGUAUGGUUUUUUUUUUACUAAUUCCUCUAAGGUCUGCUGCGCCUUAACCCUUCAGAGUAGUUCCAAGCAGUGCAGGUCUCGGAACAUCCUGGGGGAAAGGACCAAGUACCAAGAACACAGCGGGGGAGACGCAGGAAGAAAGUGAGGCUAACAGUUUAGGCAGAUGCUGUUGAAAACCUGCCCAGAACAUUGUCAAGAUCCAAGAAUCCACCCCAAAAAGAAAAAGCCAAACUAGUGCCAAACCUAGACAGCCCGGCAGGCUGGAGCCAAGGUUCAGAAUAGAAAUCCCAGAGCGCAUGCCCUGGGCUGCUUUGCAUUAGAUCUCUUGGGAAUCUGUUGUGGUUUGUCCCACACAACAUGGUUUCUGAAGUUCAUGAAACAUUGUCCUGCCGUAACGUGCAAACGUUCGGUAUUCUGACCAGCGUCUUUACGUGCUCAGUAGUUGUACUAGAAGGAGUGAAGACUUCAUUGAGCUUUUGAGUGGACGGGACUCCUCCUAUGCUGGCAAUCACCAGUUUGCCACUUUAUUCUACUGUGAUUCUUGGGUCUGUCUCCUAGUACCUUGGAUUUUCCUUGAGCUGCCAGUAGUUCCUUCUGCCUUUCUAGCAGACCUGCUUCUGGCAGCUCCUCUUUUUUUUUUUUUUUUUUUAAUUUAUUUGACGGACAAAGAUUACAAGUAGGCAGAGAGAAAGGAGGAAGCAGGCUCCCCCGGAGCAGAGAGCCUGAUGUGGGGCUCCAUCCCAGGACCCUGGGAUCAUGACCUGAGCCAAAGGCAAGGCUUUAACUCAGUGGGCCACCCAGGCACCCCAGCUCCUCCUCUUCUAAUGAGGUUAUGGAAACCAAGUUUGUAAGGAAGCAGGACUAAGCCGAGAGGAGGAGCUCCAAGUUCCUGGAGUCUCCAUCUUCCUGGCAACUUCUAAGCUGCCCCUCCCUUGGCAAUCCUCAGGUACGUUUUAUAGAGCCAGCUGUGCCCCUGACUUAGCUGACUCGCUGUGUGAGCUGUCCUAGCAAAGACCAUACCCAACACAUAGGGGGGACUUUCUCUGGGCCAGGUCCUGGCAAAGUACUUUGCUUUGUAUCUUGUCUCAUUUAACACAUGUUCUCUCCCGUGAGCCUAAGAGUUGGGUCCUGGGACUUAUCUCCGUUUACAAACGAGGCUUUCUCCAGCACCCGGCCUUCCACAGUGGACAGCGCUCAGUCCCGGCCGUCCGGCACCAUUUUCUGUUGAUCAGUGCUCAACAUGGAAUCCACGCUUGAAAGCCCUGCGUCAUCCACAGCCCUCCUUCAGCCUUCCCUCCCCAAUCUAAUUGUUGCUGAGCCUGUGGAACCCUGUCUUUAACACUAUGUCUCUUAGGACAAAAUCCAACUCCGUUAUGUGGUUUACAAACCCCUCCCAAAUCCAACCCUAGCUUACCCCCCUCAGCCUCUCCUCGGGCCCAGAUCCUCUGGCAAGAAACACUCAAAAUAAUUCGUCAGGGUCUUGCUCUCGGAAGAAAGCUGUCUUGCCUUGAGAGCUCUGCACCAGGGCUCUCAGGUUCUCCGCCUCUGCUGGGCUAACUCUACAAUUCCUGUCACAGCAUGGAAGCCACUUCCUCUGGGGAACCUCAGAGACCUCGUCCUUGACUUCGGUCCUCCAGCUAGGAGCUCCAGUAACACCCUCAUGUCCCCCAUCACUGCCUUUAUGCCACAGCACUAGGCUUACUU